rnacentral:rRNA from 1 species
GACGAACGCUGGCGGCGUGCUUAACACAUGCAAGUCGAACGGUGAAGCGCCUUCCUUUUUGGUGGGUGUGGAUGAGUGGCGAACGGGUGAGUAACACGUGAGUAACCUGCCCCCUUCUUCUGGAUAACCGCAUGAAAGUGUGGCUAAUACGGGAUAUUCUGGGUCUGUCGCAUGAUGGGUCUGGGAAAGAUAUUGUUUCGGUGGGGGAUGGGCUCGCGGCCUAUCAGCUUGUUGGUGGGGUGAUGGCCUACCAAGGCGGUGACGGGUAGCCGGCCUGAGAGGGUGGACGGUCACACUGGGACUGAGACACGGCCCAGACUCCUACGGGAGGCAGCAGUGGGGAAUAUUGCACAAUGGGCGCAAGCCUGAUGCAGCGACGCCGCGUGAGGGAUGGAGGCCUUCGGGUUGUGAACCUCUUUCGCCAGUGAAGCAGGACUGCCUCGUUUGUGGGUGGGUUGACGGUAGCUGGAGAAGAAGCGCCGGCUAACUACAUG